rnacentral:tRNA from 1 species
AAGGGAGACCUAAUUCAGGUAUGGGACGAAAAAAAAGUAGUCGCUACCAAGAAUCAAUCCCAAAAGGUCGGAGCGAGGCAAAAUUGGCUUUCAAACUAGGUUCUGGGUUCACACAAGACCUGAAUCAGGAACAAGGGCUAUUAGCUCAGGUGGUUAGAGCGCACCCCUGAUAAGGGUGAGGUCCCUGGUUCGAGUCCAGGAUGGCCCACCUGUACAGGUGGCAAAAAGAAAGAAAAGAAGCGAGGAAUCAGCACCUUAUCUUACUUAUAUAGUAAGAGAGAAUGCUGGCUCUGAGUUCAGAGUCCAGAGGAACCUUGAAAACUGCAUAGAGCUAGGUGAAAAAGCCAAAAAAGAAGACCGCAA